UACGGAGGGUGCAAGCGUUAUCCGGAUUCACUGGGUUUAAAGGGUGCGUAGGCGGACAGGUAAGUCAGUGGUGAAAUCUCUGGGCUUAACUCAGAAACUGCCGUUGAUACUAUCUGUCUUGAAUAUCAUGGAGGUAAGCGGAAUAUGUCAUGUAGCGGUGAAAUGCUUAGAUAUGACAUAGAACACCGAUAGCGAAGGCAGCUUACUACAUGAAGAUUGACGCUGAGGCACGAAAGCGUGGGGAGCAAACAGG
rnacentral:rRNA from 1 species